rnacentral:rRNA from 1 species
CCUACGGGAGGCAGCAGUAGGGAAUCUUCCACAAUGGACGAAAGUCUGAUGGAGCAACGCCGCGUGAGUGAUGAAGGUUUUCGGAUCGUAAAACUCUGUUGUAAGGGAAGAACAAGUACGAGAGGUAAUGCUCGUACCUUGACGGUACCUUGCGAGAAAGCCACGGCUAACUACGUGCCAGCAGCCGCGGUAAUACGUAGGUGGCAAGCGUUGUCCGGAAUUAUUGGGCGUAAAGCGCGCGCAGGCGGCCUUUUAAGUCUGAUGUGAAAGCCCCCGGCUCAACCGGGAGGUCAUUGGAAACUGGAAGGCUUGAGUACAGAAGAGAAGAGUGGAAUUCCAUGUGUAGCGGUGAAAUGCGUAGAGAUGUGGAGGAACACCAGUGGCGAAGGCGACUCUUUGGUCUGUAACUGACGCUGAGGCGCGAAAGCGUGGGGAGCAAACAGGAUUAGAUACCCUGGUAGUCCACGCCGUAAACGAUGAGUGCUAGGUGUUGGGGGUUUCCGCCCGUCAGUGCUGAAGCUAACGCAUUAAGCACUCCGCCUGGGGAGUACGGCCGCAAGGCUGAAACUCAAAGGAAUUGACGGCNGAGACGAGCGACGGACGACGACGAGGGAGGAGG